rnacentral:rRNA from 1 species
CAGUCGCCGCGGUAAUACGGAGGGAGCUAGCGUUGUUCGGAAUUACUGGGCGUAAAGCGCACGUAGGCGGUUAUUCAAGUCAGAGGUGAAAGCCCGGGGCUCAACCCCGGAACUGCCUUUGAAACUAGAUGACUAGAAUCUUGGAGAGGUCAGUGGAAUUCCGAGUGUAGAGGUGAAAUUCGUAGAUAUUCGGAAGAACACCAGUGGCGAAGGCGACUGACUGGACAAGUAUUGACGCUGAGGUGCGAAAGCGUGGGGAGCAAACAGGAUUAGAUACCCGUGUAGUCCCUGUCUCUUAUAC